rnacentral:lncRNA from 1 species
CCAUCACCCAAAUCGGGGGUGGGAAUAAAGGCACAUGAACGUUUCGGUGUGGUGUCGGGGUCCGGAGGGACAACAGUGGCACCUACAUCGGCGCACAGCCGCGGGUGUGUAUUUAUUGGGGGACAAGUGGAAAGAUACACAGCACACAAUGACCGGGAGAAAAUCACAGCACAAAGGGGAGCGGAGCGGCCGCGGGGAGGAAUGUGGGCUCCGCACUCCCACGCUGCGGUGCCGGGCAGCGGGCAGCGGUGAGGCUCCGCCAUCGAACUUGUUGCUCAACUUACGAGGCGGUUCUCAUCUCCUCAUCAAAAGCCGCCGGGCUUUCUUCAGCCGUAUGGACAAAAAUGUG